rnacentral:lncRNA from 1 species
AUUCUUUGGCGAGUACCCCAGCAAAAUCUGUCCGUCAAGCGAAACGUGUAAUGCCUUGUAUCUGACCAAAAUUGCGUAAUUUGCGAAGCUAAGACAUUUAAACGUUACAAUAGUGUAAAUGUAGAUGAUUGUAAGUGGAACA